rnacentral:lncRNA from 1 species
UGGCUCUUCAAAGUUUAAUCAAUCUAUUUUUUUCUGCCAGUAGUGUAUGAAAAGUUUGGUUUUAUGACUUCCAUGUCAAUACUUGUCAGUGUUUUCAGGCUUUAAUUUUUGCCAAACUUAUGGUUAUGAUUGGAUGUGUUAUUACUGUUGUAAAUCGAAUUUCUCUGAUACUACUCAAAUUGGGCAACUCCUCAUGUUUAUGGCUCAAUGAGAUUUCCCUUUUGUAACUAGAUAAGAAAUCCUUAUCUAGCUUAAAGACAUAAAGACAUUCUACCUUAUUUUCUUCCAAACAUUUUAAAUUUUUAUUUUUCAUAUUUAUAGCUUUAUUCAUUUCUGAGGUUUUCUUGGCAUAGAAAAGGUAUUGUUUGGCUCUGUGUCCCCACCCAAAUCUCAUCUUGAAUUGUAAUCCCUAUGUGUCAAGGGAGGGACCGGGUCUGAGGUGAUUGGAUCAUGAGGGCAGUUUCCUCAUGCUGUUGUUUUCAUGAGAUCUGAUGGCUUAAAGUGUUUGUUAGUUCCCUCUUUGCUCUCUCACUUUCUCUCUCCUGUUUCCACGUGAAGAAGGUACUUGCUUCCUCUUUGUCUUCUGCCAUGAUUGUAAGUUUCCUGAGGCCUCCUCAGCCAUGCAGAACUCAGGACUACCAGGCUCCAGGCUAACACUGGGGGUUGUCUGCACAAAGUCCUGUGAUGUGAACUGUCUAUGGAUCUCUCCGCCAUGGAUUCCACACCUGCUAGUAUUUGAGGUGUCUCCUGGGUCCUGCAGGAGUAAUCCACGUCCUUCAGAGAAUCUGUGAGUUCUCUUCACUUUCCUGGUUUAUUCCUGCAGCAGUCCUGGAGCAAAAGUUCAUGAUGCGAGAUUCCACAUGCUGCUGUGUCCAUCUGAGUGGGAGCUGCAAGCUAGUCCUGACUCCUGUCUUCCAUGAUCCUCCUAAAUCUAUACUCCAAAUUUUUUCAUUAUCCCAACAUAAACUCUGUACUCAAUAAACACUAACUUCCCUCUCAGCCCCUGAUUAUCUCUAAUUCUACUUUCUGUGUCUAUGAAUUUGCCUAUUCUAGUUACUUCAUGUAAGUGUGAUCUUACAGUGGGUCCUUCUGUGUCUGGCUUAUUUCACUUAUAUAAUAUUUUCAAUGCCCACCUAUUUUGUAAUAUGUGUCAAUAUGUCAUUUCUUUUAAUGACUGAGUAACAUUUCAUUGUAUGUAUAUACCACACUUGGUUUAUGCAUUCAUCUAUUGAUGGACAUUGGGUUGUUUACAUCUUUGGCUACUGUGAAUAGUGCUGGUAUGAACAUUGGUGAACAAAUGCCUGUUUGAAUCCCUGGUUUCAAUUUUUUUGAGAUACACACCUGAGAGUGAAACUGCUGGGUCAUGUGGUAGUUCUAUAACUUUCUGAGGAAUUGCCAAAUUGUUCUCCACAGUGGCUGCAUCAUUUUACAUUCCCACCAGCAAUACACAAGGGCUUCAAUUUCUCUACAUUCUUGCCAAUACUUGUCAUUUUACCUUUUCUUCUUUAGGUUAGCCAUCCCAGUAGAUGUAAAGUGUUA